UGUACGUUUCUAAACGCAAUAUGGAAUAUAACAUCUGUCACUGUCAUAAUGACACUACCACCACUCAUCCACCCUCACUUUGACCGAUAAUUUUUAAAACUUAUGCAGGUAAACUUAUUUAACAUUGACGAAACUGGAAAUUUUGUAUUCAAUAACGAACUUUGUUUAAAAGUAAUCACGAACAAAGGAAAGCGAAAUAUUGUGGCAGUAGUGGGUAGCGGCACCAAAAGUUUUAAGAAGCUAUACAUAAUACAAACAAGCAGCUAAUGAAGGAAUACAAAGAGAUGCACAUAAAAGACAGACACAAUUAAAUCUACAAGACUCACCUCGUCUGCCCGCUCGCCACGCCCGGCCGCAUGCUCCGACACUCCAGGCACCUUCGGGUAUUUGCAAAGCAGGGGACCCAGAUCUUCAGAGCAUGUCACCUUAUGCUUAGAACCAUCAGCUGUCUUCAGGAAGAUAUUUCCAUCCUGCGUCCAGCAAGCACGUAUACCAAAGUGACGGCGUGCCCUGACGAACAACUCCUGUCUGGGUCGAGUCAAGAACUCCCGCACAGAAACUUUGGAGCCCCGAAGACCAGUUUUAGCUCGCCAGACCGAAGCCUUGAUCUCAAUAGUGGCAAACCGCACCAGAAUCGGUCUGUGACGGUCCUUAGUGCGCACACCCAGUCUAUGGCAUGUCUUGAUCGCGGACAACGGAAGAUUGAGUUGCAGCUUGGUGUUAACAAUCUCCAGCACUGCUUUGCUGCACACCUCUUCCUCGACUUCGGGUAUGCCCUGGAACACCACAGCCUUCCUUCGGUGUCGCAUCUCCUGAUCAUCAGAGCACCUGCAGCAGUCAGAGAUUUGUUUCCGCAAUGUGCCCAAAAUCCCAUAGACCAGCUCCCGGAAGACCCUAAACUCCUCAGCAAUCUUGGCCACUGUAUCCUUAGAAGGGCCAGCUGCCUUUAUCUGGGCAUGGAUCUCGUUCAUCCUUCCCAAUAACUUCUCCUCCAUGGACAGAUUGGUGGUUAUGAGGUCAGCGUACGACAUAGUGAACGUGAAGUGAUGAACUCUUAGUGAAUUGAUGUGCUGGCAGGUGGUGGCCAAGUAGAAUACUUUACAUAAACCUUGUAACUAUUAUCACUUUUUAAUAUGGUUAUAUACUAUUUAGGCCAAUUGUUGACAAGAUUUAUUCAAUUUAAACUAUUUAAAUUAAUUUAUAUAAUUUAUUUUUCGCAAUAAACAAAUUACGCGUGUGAACUUA